GUCCCUACAGCGCAAUGGAUAGCGCGUUGGACUUCUAAUCCAGCAGUCGUGGGUUCGAAUUCCACCUGGGAUG